rnacentral:rRNA from 1 species
UUGCUCUUCAACGAGGAAUGCCUAGUAAGCGCGAGUCAUCAGCUCGCGUUGACUACGUCCCUGCCCUUUGUACACACCGCCCGUCGCUCCUACCGAUUGAAUGGUCCGGUGAAGUGUUCGGAUCGCGGCGACGGGGGCGGUUCGCCGCCCCCGACGUCGCGAGAAGUCCAUUGAACCUUAUCAUUUAGAGGAAGGAGAAGUCGUAACAAGGUUUCCGUAGGUGAACCUGCGGAAGGAUCAUUGUCGUGACCCUGACCAAAACAGACCGCGCACGCGUCAUCCAACCCGUCGGUGACGGCACUGUCCGUCGCUCGGCCAAUGCCUCGACCACCUCCCCUCCUCGGAGCGGGUGGGGGCUCGGGGUAAAAGAACCCACGGCGCCGAAGGCGUCAAGGAACACUGUGCCUAACCCGGGGGCAUGGCUAGCUUGCUAGCCGUCCCUUGUGUUGCAAAGCUAUUUAAUCCACACGACUCUCGGCAACGGAUAUCUCGGCUCUCGCAUCGAUGAAGAACGUAGCGAAAUGCGAUACCUGGUGUGAAUUGCAGAAUCCCGCGAACCAUCGAGUCUUUGAACGCAAGUUGCGCCCGAGGCCACUCGGCCGAGGGCACGCCUGCCUGGGCGUCACGCCAAAACACGCUCCCAACCACCCUCAUCGGGAAUCGGGACGCGGCAUCUGGUCCCUCGUCUCGCAAGGGGCGGUGGACCGAAGAUCGGGCUGCCGGUGUACCGCGCCGGACACAGCGCAUGGUGGGCGUCCUCGCUUUAUCAACGCAGUGCAUCCGACGCGCAGCCGACAUUAUGGCCUCAGAACGACCCAGCAAACGAAGCGCACGUUGCUUCGACCGCGACCCCAGGUCAGGCGGGACUACCCGCUGAGUUUAAGCAUAUCAAUAAGCGGAGGA